rnacentral:rRNA from 1 species
UACGUAGGGUGCAAGCGUUGUCCGGAAUUAUUGGGCGUAAAGAGCUCGUAGGCGGUCUGUCACGUCUGCUGUGAAAACUCGGGGCUUAACCCCGGGCCUGCAGUGGGUACGGGCAGACUAGAGUUCGGUAGGGGAGACUGGAAUUCCUGGUGUAGCGGUGAAAUGCGCAGAUAUCAGGAGGAACACCGAUGGCGAAGGCAGGUCUCUGGGCCAUUACUGACACUGAGAAGCGAAAGCAUGGGGAGCGAACAGG